rnacentral:ribozyme from 12 species
AGUUGGAGAGAUGGGACUAUUUGUUUCCAUGUCUUCUUCGGUUUUCUGCUUAACGUUCUCUUUUUCUUUUUCUUUCUCUUUCUCUUUUUCUUUUU